UUUUUUUAAAUUAUUAUACGGAAAUAUACAAUGUGUUCAAAAUCUGUGGAGAAGCAAAAGAGCAAAAUAUAUGUGCCAUAAUUAAUGAAGGAGCACAAAGUUACUGCAUAAACUGUUAAAAGAGUUGAUAGAAUAGAUUUAUACCAAUCCAUGUUAUUACACAUUUAUUGUAUAUAUAGACAAGUAACAGAACUUGCAAAACUGUCCACUCCUGAGCCUCAGAUUAGCAUUAACUAGCAGUUUUAGGGCAUAUUUAAAUGAUUAUUUACAUAAAAUAUUUUUCUCAAAAUAAAGAUUCUUAUUAUAUUAUCCACUUUCAUCUCUGUACAUAUUUGUUUUACAAUUUCAUAAACUAACUGAGUCAACAAUUAUCCAUUACCAUAAAUAUUCAUGACCUACAUGAUCUACAUUUUUGACAUGGCAGUACACGUUGCAGUGGAAUACCUGGUCAGGAACAUUUUAUAUUUCAUAAUACAUAUGAAUGUGGAAUAUAGAAGUGUUCCUAUUUUUUCUGUUCAUUUUUGAUAAAUUUACUGGCACUGGAAAGGCUUCCUAUAAGAAAUGGACAUUAGCCUACAGCAAGUUGACCUCAACAUACAUAGUGGUGAAGGUAAUUCUGAAAACUAGAACAGAGAUAAAAAAGGGUUGUGUAUAAAGUGUGCUGUGUAAUGAAAAGUGGUGCAAACAGGGGUGGACUCAUUAAUGUAAUGUGCUUGCUGGGUACACUUUUGUCAAUUAUGACUGUCCCACUUUUAAUAUUUGAGACCACUUUUCAGAGAAGAACACAUUUUGUCUAUAACCACCAUUGUAAUUUUAGGAAUAUAUAGAUGACAAGUUGACCAAAUACUUCUUAAUAUACUAAGACAUGAGCAAAUACUUAACUGUCAACAAAGUACUUUCUAGGGAAAGUAUGUAUUAACAAAGUGCAGAAAAAGUUAACACAUUUCGAUUGUUUUUGCAUUUAUCACUAGCGGUUAGUGACAUAUUUAAAAUUCAUAACUGCACAAAUAUAUUAAAAUUUGUAAACUAUUUUAGCAUGUUUGUGGAUCUUUAUUUUAACAUGCUUUUUGUGAAAGCAAUAUAUUCCUUGUAUGGUUUAAUUCACUAUUUAUAACAGUAGCAUGAUCACCUUGGCAGUAUUGAGGAAGUUAAAAGCAUAAACAUGAAAAAUACACUAUUCACACACCGUUCAUGUUGUGGCUGGUUAAUAAAAGUCAAUCAAUGUAAUUUUGAAAUGUGAUCAUAACAAUACAGCAGCUCUAUUUACAGAUCUUUUAGUAAAAAUCAGUUUUUGAGCAAACACUGCAUUAGUGAUUUUGUUUUCUCAUAAAACCAAUAUUUACAUUUUAUAGGUAUUUCUCAGCUGUGCUUUCACAAAAAAAAAAAAAAAAACAACAGAUUUUAUUAAGUAUAAGUUGUUUGCUUCCAAAAAUCAAGGACACCAUCACAGAUUUUUUAUUACUUGAAAAAUUUGAGCAAAGCUGCAGUAAAUCUCUCACACAAUCUCAUAGAGCUGAACAAUCCUCAAAACUGAAACAUGUCAGCGCAAGCACACUUGUUUGUCACAAACGUUGUCACAUUAUUCAGUGGCAUCUUCAGAGGAGAAGGAGAGAGCAGAAGUAUAUAAACAGGGUGCUGUUUCUCAAUAUGAUCCUCGGGCAUCCAUCCACACUCAUAAUACCAUAAUACCAUAUUAAUUUUAGGCAACCUUUAAUACCUAUCAUCAGCCCCAGCCAUCCAACAUUCCUUCCAAAAAAUCUGUCAAAAAACUAGCAGAUUCUAUCUACUAGUGCCUCAGCUUCACUGAAUUUGUCCUUUGCUUCACUGCUGCUCUUACUAUUGUAACUUGAAGCCUCCAAUCUUGUUGUGCAAUUUGUGGUGGACAUAUUUAAAUGGCUGCCGACACGCACAAUGAUCUCAAGCAGUAUUCAAAGCAACGUAGACAAAACAUCCAAAUAACGCAUGACAAUAUAAACUUUGUGUAGUGGUUUUGGAUUAUAAGAGAACUAUAAAAGUUGUAUAUGCCACAUUCCCUCCACAUGGAGACACUGAACUUUCCUCGUAGAGAUGCACUGAUUAGAUUAAUCAAUUCAUCUCUAUGAGGAGAUGCUGAUUGGCCAUGGCUGUGUUUGGCUCUGCUCUGAUCUGCCUACUUGAUAAGCUCAGCCAAUCCAAUGCUUUCCUAUGGAUUUUACUAUAUAGAUUUUACUAUAUUUAGGGGGAUUAGAUGGUGUUUUAACACUACAGGGUCAGGAAUACAUGUUUGUGUUCCUGACCAUAUAGUGUUCCUUUAAUGGUUUAUAUAUACAUAAAAUAUUAGAAAGUUCUAUAUCACAUAAUAUGUAUGGGUGCACGGAAGCAAGGUCAAAUUAUGGUCGACUAAAUGUGUGUCAAAAGUUCCAGAAAAGGCCUUGGUCAAAAAACGUUGCAUCUAAAAGACCUUGGUCCUUAAGAGGUUAAUGUUUAUUUUCUUAAUGCAUAGAUUUUACACACACACACAGACUGUGCAAAAUCCAUGGAGAUGUUUGUCAAUUACUCUUUUUUUUGUCAACAUUCAGUGCCUGUUCAGUACAGAUGUCUAAUGUUAUCCACAUAUCUAUUGAUCUAUUGGUUAGUAUUAUUUAAAAGUACAAUGUUUAUAUACAUAUAUGUAGUGGCAUUGUUUUAGAAAUCUGCAUUCCCAAAAAUACCCUGAGAAACCUGACAAAUAAAAAAAAAAGCUUUUGCCAAAAGUAAUGUUUGUGACAAAAAAAAAUAUUUACUUUCUAUACUAAUAUUUUAUUUUAUCAGUUAUAUUUCAAGAAAAGGGAUGCCAUCUAAUGUCUUUAACAUAUAUCCCCAAUAAUUCUAUAAAGUGUGAGUUUAUGCCAAUUUACAUUCUUUUAAUGUGUUAUUUUUAAUUUUUACCUGUAUGUUAAAUUUUAUUUUUACCUGUAUGUUCAAGCUAAGCAUCUCAUGUUUCAAAUAAAAGUUAAGCUACUUGAAAAAAUAAAAGAAUCCUUUUGGCCUUUGACGUGCCCCUCUUGUGAAUCUAUUUCUCCUGACGAAUACCCUUAAAGGACCACUAUAGGCACCCAGACCACUUCAGCUUAAUGAAGUGGUGUGGGUGCCAGGUCCAUCUAGAAUUAACCCUUUCUGCUGUAAACAUAGCAGUUUCAGAGAAACUGCUAUGUUUACUUUAGGGUUAAUCCAGCCUUUAGUGGCUGUCUCAUUGACAGCCGCUACAGGUGCUUCUGCGCUUCUCACUGUGAUUUUCACAUUGAGAAGACACCAGCAUCCAUAGGAAAGCAUUGAGAAUGCUUUCCUAUGGACUGGCUGAAUGCGCGCGCGGCUCAUGCCGCGCAUGCGCAUUCAGCCGAUGACGGGGAAAGAAGGAGGAGAGUCCUCAGCGCUGAGGAAACCCGGCGCUGGAAAAAAGGUAAGGGAUUAACCCCUUCCUCUCCAUUCAGCCCGGCGGGAGGGGGGCCAUGAGGGUGGGGGGACCUAGAGACCCUAUAGUGCAAGGAAAACAAGUAUGUUUUCCUGGCACUAUAGUGGUACUUUAAGGAUACCUUCACUAUUACAUAUAUGUUAUUAACCAUCAUGUUAAGCCUUGACUUAUGUGUCAUAUGCCAUGUUUAUCUUGAAUCUGCCGGCUGGAAAAAUAAAGAAUAAAAAAAAAAAAAAAAAUUAAGAACAACUGCAUUAAAAGAUCAGUUAUUUUGGUUUAACAAAGGUUAUGUUAUUUACAUGACAUUGCCUAAAAGCAAGAUUAUGUGCUUGAAUUGACUCAAUUGAUAACUACCAGAUUGUGCCACAUUCUCUUAGUUCUAAAUUAUUAUGAUGCAUUUAAACACAGUAUAAAACGCACUCUCAGGUAACAAGAACCAUGACAGGGCAAGGAGUUGUGAUUGCAAAGGGCUGUGGUGUAACAAGUUUGUACAAAUCAUCAAGAAGUGCCACACAGACUGACAAUAUAAAAGAAUACAAAUGGAAGGUUAUGUCAUAAAUUAUGUCAGAAUGAAGCACUAGUAAGCUAUUAAGAGACUUCACUUCUGGAAGGGACUGUUAUCAUGACAUUACACCUUCCAGUGUUGCCACCUGGGAGGAUAGAACCAGGACAUUAUGGAAACUUGGCAUGGUUCUUGCUACAUGAGAGUACAUUUAUACUGUGUAUUGGGUUUACUGUUUUCUGACCUCGGCUUGUUUGACCAUACUUGCUCUCUAUUGCCUGACCUUGGUUUAACUAUUGAUUCUGUCUACCUCUCGGCCUGUUUCUCAUUUCCUCUCUGUCUGUUUGCAGACAUUUCAUUUUUCUGUCUUAGGGACUAGCCUGGCCAUUCUAAGGAUAAGUACUUUUUCUUUAUUGUUUAUGUAGGUUUGCGUGUUAGAGCAUCUUCAUUCCUGACAUUACAACAGGACCAGAAAAUAAGGACAAGCAGGAUGUAUACCUACCCUAUACUGGGUUGUGAUUGGUUGCAGAAGGUUGUGAUAUCACAAGUGUGUACACAUUAUCACAAAAGCACCGAAUACACUGACACUAUAAAAGUAGACCAAUGGAAAGGUUUCAUGUCAUAAAUGAUGUCAGAAUGAGGCACCAGGAACCAAGGGAUGAGUGGACAACAUCUUCUGAGCAGAAGAGACAUUCCUUAAAUGAUCACACGGCCCCGGGAGGGACAGAAAUCAUGACAGACAAAAGACCUCAAAUCUAUACUGUUCAUUUGUAUACAAGACAGGUAUGUAUAUGUCUAUAUGACUUUCUUUUUACAAAGAGUGUGUUUACUAUGCUAUGAAGACACUAUCUGUGUAAAAUACACAAUAUAAUUUAUAUUGAGUACAUGAAUUUAAUCCAUAAACAAUUACAGUUUAAUAAAUCAUUUAUAUAUUUGUUAGAUGAAAAGUAUGUAACUUUUUAAAAUCAAUGUAUGUUACAUAGUAAGGAUUAAAACUUUAAAAUGGUUAUUUACCCCAAGCACAAUGCUGGCAUAUUUCAGCAGUAUACAGCCUAACUGCUUGGGACCAUAUCAGUAAUAGAUCAGCAACUCGUGACUUACCCUAAAAGUAUAUACAGGCUUUACUGUGCUGUAAAUUGCCAGAUUCCUAGGCUUUAAAGAAACAUUCUAAGCACCAUAAGCAUGGCAGGUGGUAAGAGUGCGCUGGCAUCCACAAGCCCAUUGUAAAUAGCCAAACAGCUUCGGAUGAUUUGACAUAUGUGGGCCCACUGCUCCCCAGCUCAGCAGACACUCUCAUCCAAUUAGCAGUGCAUAAACAUAUCCAUUCAUCUAAUUUCUUAAAGAUUUCAUGUGUUACAUAAUUUCACACACUACUCAUGUGCAGUGAUGCAUUUACCUAGAAAUACAUUCCUGUGCCUGUACGUACAUUGACACAAUCCCCCAUACAUUCAGAUGCUACAUGCAGAUAUACAUACAGACAACACCACACUUGUCACAGACAGAUGUACAACUACUAUAUAAAAAAGAGAUACACAGUGCUGUGAAGUUGGUA